AGGGGCAUCGGGGCGAGGAGCAAUCCUUGCCGCCGGUGACCGGCCCAUUGGUGAGUAACGCGUAUGCGACCUGCCCGUUGCAGGGGGAUAAUCGGGAGAAAUCCCGUCUAAUACCGCGUAACGCCGCGGGGCUGCAUGGCCCUGCGGCCAAAGGGAGCGAUUCCGGCAACGGAUGGGCAUGCGUGACAUUAGCUAGUUGGCGGGGCAACGGCCCACCAAGGCGACGAUGUCUAGGGGUUCUGAGAGGAAGGUCCCCCACACUGGUACUGAGACACGGACCAGACUCCUACGGGAGGCAGCAGUGAGGAAUAUUGGUCAAUGGGCGCGAGCCUGAACCAGCCAAGUCGCGUGAGGGAUGACGGCCCUACGGGUUGUAAACCUCUUUUGUCGGGGAGCAAAUUCCGCCACGUGUGGCGGAGUCGAGAGUACCCGAAGAAAAAGCAUCGGCUAACUCCGUGCCAGCAGCCGCGGUAAUACGGAGGAUGCGAGCGUUAUCCGGAUUUAUUGGGUUUAAAGGGUGCGUAGGCGGACUGUCAAGUCAGCGGUAAAAUACGGGGGCUCAACCUCCGCCCGCCGUUGAAACUGACGGUCUUGAGUGGGCGAGAAGUAUGCGGAAUGCGUGGUGUAGCGGUGAAAUGCAUAGAUAUCACGCAGAACUCCGAUUGCGAAGGCAGCAUACCGGCGCCCAACUGACGCUGAAGCACGAAAGCGUGGGUAUCGAACA
rnacentral:rRNA from 1 species